CGGGACGGUGUCCUGAUGGACCCGCCGCCGGGACUCCUGCGCUCCGGCUCGCCGUGGGGGCCAGGGGCGCAGGUUCAAAUCCUGUCGUCCCGACCA
rnacentral:tRNA from 1 species